CACGUAGGGGACGAGCGUUGUCCGGAUUCAUUGGGCGUAAAGCGCGCGUAGGCGGCUCGGAAAGUCGGGCGUGAAAUGCCGGGGCUCAACCCCGGGACUGCGUCCGAUACUUCCGAGCUGGAGGUAGGUAGGGGAGAUCGGAAUUCCUGGUGUAGCGGUGAAAUGCGCAGAUAUCAGGAGGAACACCGAUGGCGAAGGCAGCCCCCUGGGCUAACACUGACGCUGAGGCACGAAAGCGUGGGGAGCGAACAGG
rnacentral:rRNA from 1 species